UGUAGCUCAGGGGUAGAGCGUCUGACUGGUGUGCAGAAGGUCAUACAUUGUAGGUUUGACUCCUGUUGGGAGAA